CGGCGGCGCAGGAAGCGGGCGGCCCCCGGCGCUCCCCGCCGGCCGAUGGGGUGCCCUGGGCCGGGCAGCGAGGCCGGGCUCGAGUCCCCGCGCGGCCCCGGCCUGACCCGAGCCCGCAGAAGCGCAGCCCGAGCCCGGCGGUCCGAGGACCUGGCUGCGGGGCUGUCCAGGCGUCCCGGAGGGCUCUUUUCCCAGCACCUGGCGGCUCUGAUGGACGGAGGGAGCCAGCCGGACGGUCGGGGACCCGGGAUCCGGGCGCAGCAGCCCACCUCCUGUUCUAGGCUUCCCGGCUCGGUGCAGUCCGAGGCUGUGGAGGGCAGAAUUCCUGCAGGAUUUAUUUUUGCCACUUCCUCUAGGAGCUAGAAGUUGGCCAAGUGUUGAAUUGUGUGCCUCUCGGGCAUGCACCGCUGAACAAAACUUGUUGGCGUCUAUGAAACAAUGCCGCCUCCAACGCCUGGACUCGGCUCCUGAGUGACGGGGACGCAGCCGAGCGGCCUUCCUCAGCACCGUCCCCUCCUCUGCGGGCUCUGAAUUCGAGUGCCCCCACCUGCCAGACCCGCUUAAGCGAGUUAUGUCCCUGUGCUGCCCUGUUUCUGGCUGGGAGACACAGGAGAUGCAAGUGGAUCCUCACAGAGCCAGUAUUCGCCCCUCCUGGAAUGUGGUCAGGGCACCAGACGGGACCCAGCGAUGAGCGGGCAGAUGGACGGAUGUCUGCAAAUCCACCAGGGAUGGAAACAAGCCACGGACUCCAUGCCGGAUGGGUCCAUACUGGCCUACCCAUCCCAAAUAAUCUCAUCCAUGCACAGAACGUCCACAUAAGACAGGAUGAAGAAGGAUUGUCCCCAGGCAGCUCUGCCAUCAGCUCUGCAAACACCCUUGGAGCUAGAAAAAAAUACAAGGUUCCAGCAAUUUUCCUAGGCAGUCCAGAGAGAAGAUUCAAAAAAAGGAAGCUUACAUUACUAUCACAUGAAAUAUGUGGUCAAAACAACCAGAGUAAUAGCUUGAGGAAGAAAAACAGAACUUCAAGGAAGAAAAUACAAGUGAAGAGAAAAAAUGCAGCCCUGCUGUCGUUUAAGAGCACUGCUGUGGGUUGAUUUGAGUGCCUCCAAAGUCUUAGGGUGAAGUUCUAACCACCUCAUGGUACAACCUUUUAUGGAAACGGGGUUGUUGCCGAUGUCCUUAAUUCAGAUGAGGCCAUCCUGGAGCACAGCGGGCCCUAAUCUAAUGUGAUUUAUAAGAAGGGUAGACAGACAUACACCUACAGAGGAUGCUCUGUAAGCUUGAACCCAGAGGCUUGGUGAUGCUUGCACCAACUGGGUCUCCCUGAAGUUUGCCAGCAAAGCACCGGAAGCUAGGAGAAGCCUGGGAAAGAUGGUCGCUCCCAGCCUCAGAAGGAGCCAACCCAGCCAAGCCCUUAAUCUCAGACUUCCGGCCUCCAGAGCUGCUAGAUGAUCCAUUUCUGUGGUCUAAGGCUUCUGGCCCUGGUUAUUUUCUUUUGACUACUCUAGCUGACUGAUACAUGCAGCUGAAAAUAUGCCCAUGUGUGACUACAAUGUAGGGAAUAAGUGUCAUGACAAAAUUAAAAUGCAAUAUACAAAGGCGGUAAAAUAAACAGUACUGUGAAAAUUAAUAAGGGGAUACCUCACUGAAGGGGCGUCAGGAGGGAGCUCUCAGACCCUCUCACUCCUGGUCAGUCACAAAUCCAGCAGGAAGAGAGGGACCUUGCAGGUGGAGGCUGCUCUACUACACACGCGGGAGGAAGGAAGGCUCUCCUUGAGGCCAACAGCCCAGCCCAUGAGAAACGGUCACAGCUCAGCCAAGGAGGAGUCGCCACAUCCCAGCUCUCAGUUUACGCCAAUGGACCUUCUGUGGGUAAGAGCCUUCCCACCCUCCCGGUUUCCUUCACAAAAGAGCGUUCCUCUCCUUUGCUGGGUGGACUUGUCUGUGGCUUUUGCCCUAGCUUCCUUGUCCCAGAUCGCAGUUCUCUGCUAUUCCUAAUAAACUCAUU